ACAUACGGGUCCCACAGGGGUCCUUCGACACCACUUCAUCGUCUGGGUUCCACCAUCCACCCACGCACUCAUUUGGCAGCUAUCAACGGAGUAUUCACAGUACGCUGCUCACAGUUCUAACCGCGGAGGAUAGAGUUGAGACCCACACGACAGCCCCUGCUCUCACAGAACUGAUGUCUCUAGAAGAGUCUUCCCCUCAGUGAGAACGUUCUGAUUUCUAGAACAUUCUUUCUUCUGAUGAGUGAACAGCCUCACCGGAACUUCCCGAUCCUCCUGGCUUGGUUCCUGAAGUGGCCCAAGGCUGCCUUCUCCCUCCCGUGGGUGAACAGGGUGACUGCUUCCUCUCUUGUCCAGGCCCCCUGGCCUGACCCUGAGUCCCGGGCGUAACGGCGUUGUUGAACCACCGCAACCCCAGCCAGCGCCUUCCUCUUGGCCCAGGGGUUCUCUUGGGGACAGUGUGCAGUACUCCCCAAGGGGGCUUUGCUGUGCAAAAGCAGCCCCUGCCGAUGCUGCGGCUCCCGUGGAUGGAGCACUGCCGUGGGAACAGAGUUGGAACUCAUCCAAAAGGCCGCAGUGCAGAGGUGUGAUCAUAGGGCACAGCAGCCUUGAACUCCUGGGCUCAAGGAAUCCUCCCGCCUCAGCCUCCCAAGUAGCUGGGACUACAGAAUAAAAGACAACUGUGUUGGAAGAUUGCCAAGGUUUGUAGCUGUGCCACCGCAGACUUCAGAGAUGAACACUGCCUUGGAGACGGGGAGGAUUCAAGUUGCAGAAGCACUUAGCAGGAAUCAGGAAAAUAUAAACUGCUUGAAGUACCAGUCUGCUUUACAAAGUCUUCACGUGCCCCAGGAGUCCUCCAGUUAGGGUGCCAUUAGCCAGGAGAGCUCCUGCCCAGAAUUUGUACCCAGCCACAUUGACACCCAGAAUGGAGCUACCUUGCCCAGCUUCCCUUACAACCAGGCAAGGAUGUCACAAUGUAGAACCAAUGGGAUGAAGGCAGAAACGUUGUGCGGCAGCUGCUGAGAACCUUCCUUAAAACCUAGUCAGAAUGAACCCUAUACAACCCUAUACCCAUCUGCCUUGGCAUACAGUUGUUGAAUCCUGGGCUGCGAAGACAGAGGUCCCUUCCAAGGGUGAUGGAGUGGUGAGUAGAAGGGAGCCUGGGUCCUGAGGACUUAAGGCAGAGUUGCCUUACCAGCUGUGGAAGGCAGAGCUUGGGCCUCAUGACUUUUGCCCUUGGCGUUAUUCAUGGAUAUGUUACAUUACAUGGCAAAAUGUAAUUAAGGUACCAAUUAGUUGACCUUAAAAUCGGAAGAUUGUCCUGGAUUCACCAGGUGGACCUAGUUUAAAUUGUAUGAGCCCUUGAAAGGGAAGAUCUUUUUCCAGCCCGUCGCAGAAGGGGAAGGCAGAGAUUUGAAGCAUGAGAAGGAUUCGCCAUGCAAUUAUUGGCUUGAAGAUGAGGGCAUCUGCAUGUCAAGGAGAUAGGGAUCUCAGUUUCACAACUGCAAUGAACUGAAUUCUGCUAACAACCUAGAUGCACUUGUAAGUGGAUUCUUCCCCAGAGUCUGCAGACAGCCCAGCCCAGCCAACACUUUGAAAGCCAAAGUGGAUUUUAGCUUUGAGAGUCCCUGAGCACAGAACGCAACUGCGCCACACUGUACCAGGACUUCUGGUCCAUGGAUGCUGUGAGCUAAUAACUUUGUGUCUUUUAAAGCUGCUGCAUGUGUGGUGAUUUGCUAUGCAGCAAUAGACAAUGGACAGGCUAGCCUGUAUGUAAGUGAAAAACAUCUUGUUUGUUUUUUUCUCAAUUGCAGCCCAACCUGAUCACAACUAAUGCACAAACAAAUAAUCCAAGGCUGAACUGUUGACUGUGGAGACAGGAGAUGCAGUGAAGAAUAUUUCUAUUUGAGUGACCCAGGUGGAGGGAGAGAGUGGAGGCAAGAAUGUAGAUGUAAGCAUCCUUGACCUCCCGAAUUUAUUGCUGGGCAGGAGGCAGAUAAACAGAGGCUUCCAGAAGGGUUCAUGUGAGUCCUGGAGCAGAAGGUUUGUCCAUGCAUCUUCAGACAUGGCCUGGAAAGAUUACUCACCUCUCAGAAAAAUCUGGGGGGCUGCUGCUUCUCAUAUUGAGUUAGAAGGCAGAGCUUGGACACCGGACCAAAUUGAGGACUAGCUAAAAUGCGGAUGGGGCAAAAACAACUUUCUAUAAGAUAUGCCCAACAGAGUGCCAUGUUGGUUUACCAUUGCCAUGGCAACACUCGAGCAGUACCACCUUUGUCCAUGGCAAUGACCCAACCACCUAGAAAUUACCACUCUUUUUCAAGAAAUUUUUGCAUAAUCUGUCCCUUAAUUUUCAAAGUAAAUAUAAGUGUGAGUACAAAACUGCUUCUGAGCUGCUGCUCUGGGCACACUGCCUCUGGGGUAGCCCUGCUCCACAAGGCACAACACCUCUGCUGCUGCUUCAAUAGAAGUUGCUGUCUAGCACCACUGGCUCACCCUUAAAUUCUUUCCUGGGCAAAGGCAACAACCCUCCCAGGUGAAGCCUCGAUUUUGGGUUCACCUGCCUUGCAUCAGUAUGACACGCAAAAGCAAAGAGAAGAUUCUUGGCGGUGGGUGUGAGAUGUGAUUCUCAGGUUCCCAGGGUCUUGGGCAAGCUAUUCCUUGGAGCUGGGCAUGCGAUGGGUGUGAUGGCAGCCUUGGGCUCUCCAAAGAAUGGCAGCCCCAGCAGGACAGUGGAAUUGGUGGGGAAGAAACACAGCCUUGCAGGCCAUGAGUCCCCCCAGCCACAGACACCUACCUUCACAGUGGGUCCAGCAGGGAGCCAGCCGCUCUCUCAGAGCACCGGGACCCUAACCUUUCCCAGUGUCCACCUGCUGUUGGGGAGUAGGAAGAAGCAGGAUGUUCUUGAGGAGAGGAGACAUUCAGGAAGACUAAUUACCCAACUGCCUCCGACUGACAAGAUUGAGCAUUUACAGGUAUCUUGCAAUCAAUAAGAGUUCAAGAGCAAGAUAAGCUGAGAUACAAAAAAUAAUGAUGGUCACCUUUUGUUUUCUCAUUUGGCUCGUAUUGUAUAGUUUUCUAGCUUAUAAUGUAAAGAUUUAUCCUUUCCACAUUUUUGUUUUUUCCCCAUAAUUUUCACUCUUUAUUUUAAAAGACUUUCUUCUUACUGGAAAAAAAAAAACAAAGCGUAAUUCUAUGUCCAACACUGUACUGAAUGCUGUUUUUUUUUUAAACUAAAUACAUUUUAAUAG